rnacentral:rRNA from 1 species
UACAGGGGUCUCGAGCGUUAAUCGGAAUCACUGGGCUUAAAGGGUGCGUAGGCGGAUCCGUAAGCGCUUUGUGAAAUCCCCCGGCUCAACCGGGGAAUUGCAGGGCGAACUGCGGAUCUUGAGGAAACUAGAGGCCGGUAGAACGAUUGGUGGAGCGGUGGAAUGCGUAGAUAUCAAUCGGAAUGCCAAAAGUGAAGACAGCCGGCUGGGGUUUUCCUGACGCUGAGGCACGAAAGCGUGGGGAGCAAACCGG